ensembl:lncRNA
CCACCCAAAGAAUAGAAAUACCUGACAGUUGCCCGUUUAACACCGGUGGAGUAAUUAUUAAACCCCCCUUUUUUACUAUAUUGCUAAUCCAAACCCAAACUGUCCGAUACAGAGCAGCGCCAGCGUUCAACCAGCAGAGAGCGCAAUCGGGUCACCAUAUCCAUCUCGGUGGCUCCACCCAUGCCCACAUUCCCCUCCCCUCACUCCAUCAGGAGACAGGACCAGAGGAGUCGACACUCACAUAUGGUAAGCGUUAUUACAGUUAUAGUACAGUACUAGCGUCUAGAAUGGCGCUUGGGCAUUGUAUCUUGAUUGAGAUUGGCGGAAACUAACGUAACUAUUUUUCCUACGUUUUGGCUGUUAACUUGCGUUAUCUAUAAACCACUCGUGCUGUAAAAGCUUAAGGUUUUUCAGUAAUACUGUAAGUUUUUUUGUAAUCAUAUAUCUUGUUUGAUUGUAUUUCAUGGCACAGCUGGACAGAGCUGAAUAUCAGACAAUGCAGAGGAAGGAAAGAAGCACCAGAGAGUCCGACAUGCA